UUUUCAUCAGACAAUCUGUGUGAGCACUGCAAAGUACGCUUCUUUAAGGUAAGGAGGUGAUCCAACCGCAGGUUCCCCUACGGUUACCUUGUUACGACUUCACCCCAGUCAUGAAUCACAAAGUGGUAAGCGCCCUCCCGAAGGUUAAGCUACCUACUUCUUUUGCAACCCACUCCCAUGGUGUGACGGGCGGUGUGUACAAGGCCCGGGAACGUAUUCACCGUGGCAUUCUGAUCCACGAUUACUAGCGAUUCCGACUUCAUGGAGUCGAGUUGCAGACUCCAAUCCGGACUACGACGCACUUUAUGAGGUCCGCUUGCUCUCGCGAGGUCGCUUCUCUUUGUAUGCGCCAUUGUAGCACGUGUGUAGCCCUGGUCGUAAGGGCCAUGAUGACUUGACGUCAUCCCCACCUUCCUCCAGUUUAUCACUGGCAGUCUCCUUUGAGUUCCCGGCCGGACCGCUGGCAACAAAGGAUAAGGGUUGCGCUCGUUGCGGGACUUAACCCAACAUUUCACAACACGAGCUGACGACAGCCAUGCAGCACCUGUCUCACGGUUCCCGAAGGCACAUUCUCAUCUCUGAAAACUUCCGUGGAUGUCAAGACCAGGUAAGGUUCUUCGCGUUGCAUCGAAUUAAACCACAUGCUCCACCGCUUGUGCGGGCCCCCGUCAAUUCAUUUGAGUUUUAACCUUGCGGCCGUACUCCCCAGGCGGUCUACUUAACGCGUUAGCUCCGGAAGCCACGCCUCAAGGGCACAACCUCCAAGUAGACAUCGUUUACGGCGUGGACUACCAGGGUAUCUAAUCCUGUUUGCUCCCCACGCUUUCGCACCUGAGCGUCAGUCUUUGUCCAGGGGGCCGCCUUCGCCACCGGUAUUCCUCCAGAUCUCUACGCAUUUCNNNNNNNNNNNNNNNNNNNNCCCCCCUCUACAAGACUCAAGCCUGCCAGUUUCGAAUGCAGUUCCCAGGUUGAGCCCGGGGAUUUCACAUCCGACUUGACAGACCGCCUGCGUGCGCUUUACGCCCAGUAAUUCCGAUUAACGCUUGCACCCUCCGUAUUACCGCGGCUGCUGGCACGGAGUUAGCCGGUGCUUCUUCUGCGGGUAACGUCAAUUGCUGCGGUUAUUAACCACAACACCUUCCUCCCCGCUGAAAGUACUUUACAACCCGAAGGCCUUCUUCAUACACGCGGCAUGGCUGCAUCAGGCUUGCGCCCAUUGUGCAAUAUUCCCCACUGCUGCCUCCCGUAGGAGUCUGGACCGUGUCUCAGUUCCAGUGUGGCUGGUCAUCCUCUCAGACCAGCUAGGGAUCGUCGCCUUGGUGAGCCGUUACCUCACCAACAAGCUAAUCCCAUCUGGGCACAUCUGAUGGCAAGAGGCCCGAAGGUCCCCCUCUUUGGUCUUGCGACGUUAUGCGGUAUUAGCCACCGUUUCCAGUAGUUAUCCCCCUCCAUCAGGCAGUUUCCCAGACAUUACUCACCCGUCCGCCACUCGUCAGCAAAGCAGCAAGCUGCUUCCUGUUACCGUUCGACUUGCAUGUGUUAGGCCUGCCGCCAGCGUUCAAUCUGAGCCAUGAUCAAACUCUUCAAUUUAAAAGUUUGAUGCUCAAUGAAUUAAACUUCGUAAUGAAUUACGUGUU
rnacentral:rRNA from 1 species